rnacentral:rRNA from 1 species
CAUCUAGCAUGUGCGCAAGUCAUUGGGUAUUUAUAAUAAACCUAAAGGCGUAAUGAAAGUAAAUAUAUAUAUAAUUUUUAUAAUUAUAUUUUAUAAAGGGAAGAUUGGUAACGUUAUUUAUGUUACCUCGCAUUCCCGGGGCGUCGCAUACUUAUUGCAAGUUGCGGCGCACCAAGAGCGUACACGCUGGGACCCGAAAGAUGGUGAACUAUGCCUGGUCAGGAUGAAGUCAGGGGAAACCCUGAUGGAGGUCCGUAGCGAUUCUGACGUGCAAAUCGAUCGUAUGAACUGGGUAUAGGGGCGAAAGACUAAUCGAACCAU